CAGCAGCCGCGGUAAUACGGAGGGGGCUAGCGUUGUUCGGAAUUACUGGGCGUAAAGCGCACGUAGGCGGCUUGGUAAGUUAGAGGUGAAAGCCUGGAGCUCAACUCCAGAAUUGCCUUUAAGACUGCCGAGCUAGCAGGUGAGAGAGGUAAGUGGAAUUCCGAGUGUAGAGGUGAAAUUCGUAGAUAUUCGGAAGAACACCAGUGGCGAAGGCGGCUUACUGGCUCAUACUGGACGCUGAGGUGCGAAAGCGUGGGGAGCAAACAGGAUUAGAUACCCGAGUAGUCCCUGUCUCUUAUAA
rnacentral:rRNA from 1 species